AGGGGAAUGAGAGAAGUCUUUUCUUGUCUGAGCUGGGAGUAGAGUAGUGCAAUUAAUUCCUGAGGGUGUAUGACUCAGCUCUUUCUCUUCUGCUUCUUUGUCAUCUCUGAGUCUUUCAUCCUGUCAGCGAUGGCGUAUGACCGCUACGCGGCCAUCUGUAACCCACUGUUGUACACGGUCACCAUGUCUCCCCAGUUGUAUAAAAAGGCAUUUUCCAAAGGAAACAGACUAGAAGAGGAUGGGAUAAGAGAACAAUGCAGGGGUAAAAAGAAGAGGAGCCAAUCACAGAAGAGGUCUGGGAAGGGAUGCGGCUGAGGAAGGAGAGAAAGAACAGGGGCACACUUGGCCCUGGAUGCAUCAUUGUGGACCCCAGCCCUGCAGCCACAGGGUAACAUUUUGGUUCCCAGAUCUUCUGUCCUCACCUUGUGGUUGCACCACCCCAAUCACUAUUUGGUUGAUGUUGUGGUGAGGUCAGAGCCUCUGAUAGUUAAGAAUAUCAGGAUGGCAAGUAUUUUUAAUCCGUCACAAAGUUCUAUAUGUGCUUACGUAUUUUAACUAAUGAGACACAUGGUUUUUCUUUUUCUGAUUCUUGGAGCAACUCAUAUAUUAUUGUUGAAAAUUUGGAAUGUGAAAUAUGUGUGAAGAAAAUGACUACCUAUAUCUCAAUGUGGUAGUUUGAGAUAUUGGUCAAAAUUCAUCAUUCAUCUAGUAGUAGUAUAUAUCCAUUCCCUUGCCAUGGUCUCAUAGGAGUAGGGUAUAUUUCCUUGCCUAUGACUGUUGGCUUGGCCAGGUGAACUAUUUUGGCUAAUAGGAUAUUAGUAGAUGUGAUGUUAGCAGGAGCUUGGAAUAUCUUUGCAUGGUAUUUGCCCUCUUUUGCUUCUGCCAUUUCCUUGAGAAGAGUCCCUCCUGGGUAACUGCUGCCGCUCCCAACUAAUUCUCAAUAUGAACACACGAGCAGCAGUGUUCACUGUGCAGAGCAAGCAGUGCGGCCCAGCUGAGCCCAGACAAGAUGAACUACCACAAUCAAUUUGUAGACAUAUGAGAAACAAAUAUUCCUUGUUGUAUGCCAAUGAGAUUGUGUUUGGUUGUUGUAUAACAAUAGCUAACUGGUCUACUCCACCAUUCGGAGAACAGGAAAGGAGAAUAUCAUCUGGAAUGUGAAAGUCUCUUCCAGUGGGAUCAUCCUGUGUUACAAAAUGUUGUUUAACUUAUCAUUAUAAUGUGAUCUUUAUUCCUUAUCAAUAUUUUUUUGAAUUGUAAUUUUCCAUUGAU
rnacentral:sRNA from 1 species